UACGUAGGGUGCGAGCGUUAAUCGGAAUUACUGGGCGUAAAGUGUGCGCAGGCGGCCGAGCAAGUCGAGUGUGAAAGCCCCGAGCUUAACUUGGGAACUGCGCUCGAAACUACUUGGCUAGAGUGUGGCAGAGGGAGGUGGAAUUCCACGUGUAGCGGUGAAAUGCGUAGAGAUGUGGAGGAACACCGAUGGCGAGGGCAGCCUCCUGGGCCAACACUGACGCUCAUGCACGAAAGCGUGGGGAGCAAACAGG
rnacentral:rRNA from 1 species